rnacentral:rRNA from 1 species
UACGUAGGGGGCAAGCGUUGUCCGGAAUCAUUGGGCGUAAAGAGCGUGUAGGCGGCCGAUCAAGUUCCGCGUGAAAUCUCACGGCUCAACCGUGAGCAGCCGUGGAAAACUGGUCGGCUAGAGUGCGGGAGAGGAGAGUGGAAUUCCUGGUGUAGCGGUGAAAUGCGCAGAUAUCAGGAAGAACACCCGGUGGCGAAGGCGGCUCUCUGGAACGCAACUGACGGCUGAGACGGCGAAAGCUGGGGAGCAAACAGG